rnacentral:sRNA from 1 species
UUUGUGUCGCGACUCCGCCCAAAUCAUUGGUUAUCAUAACCUUUCGGAAGAUCUGGUUCUCAGAACCUUUCGAAAGAUCGGGAACCCUAGUCCACAUCAACUAGACCACUUGGCCCCUUGUUACGUCUUUGCCAGCGGGUAAUAGUAGAGGAUGUCCUCAUCAUUCCCACCCCCUUAAACAAGGGCCCGGGUCUGAUACCAAAUGAUGCAUCCGGCCAGGUGGGGUUGCCGAGGCCCAAUAACUUAAGGUUGCCCAGACCCCCAACAGUUCUUAGGCACACCCACUCGGGGAAAGGCCCAAUCUCCCUAAAAGACUAGUCCAAUAGGAAAAGGGUGGCUCUCCCUUUUAAGGUGGCUUCCUCCUCCCAAGCUAAGCAAGGUGGGAUUAUUCAGAGGCUCAAACGGUCGCCGCCCGACUACAACUGGACCACUUGACCCCUUGUUGCGUCUUUGCCAGCGGGUAAUGGUGGGAGAUGUCCUCAUCACCAGAUCUAUCCUGAAUUCUAUAUCUCUCUUAGGCGGUAUGCCACGUAGAUCAACUGGGAACACAUUUGGAUAGUCCCGCACUUUGGGAAACUGUUGCAAAGUUAUCUGAUUCAAACUCAAUCUUGAGGGUUUAGUAGGUACUACAUGAACAGUUACAACUUGUCCAAGGUUGCUGGUAAGGGUUACUUUUCUAUUGGCACAGUCUAUCACCCCUUUUUAUCGUGCUAACCAGUCCAUCCCUAGGAUGACAUCAAGGUCUUUGGAUUCUAGUAUAAUAAGGUUGGCUAGAAAUAGAAUACCUUUAAUUUCUAUUCUGACAAAAGGGCUACGUUGCGAUGAGAGUGCUUGAUUGCUGAGGGUACUAACCAACAAAGAAUGCCUAAAUUUUCUAUCUCCAUCCCACGACUUCUCGUAGAAUUGUUAGACAAAAAGGAAUGUGUAGCACCUGAAUCAAAAAGUAUUGCUUCAGGAACUGAGUUAGCAGGGAACAUACUCGAAAUCACAUCUGGUGCGCCUUGAGCUUCUGCGGCAGCAACAUGAUUGACACGAGCCUUCGGUGCUGGUGCAAUGGACUUGUUCUGAAUAGGGGCAGUCUCCACACGUCGAGGUUUCGGACACUUGUCAGCAAAAUGGCCUGGCUCAUCAUAGUUGAAGCACACCACUGGCAUGUUUCCUUGCUCCUUGAUAGGCUGGUUCUGGACUGGAGUUACAGCUAGACGUGGAGCCAAGUUACGAUUAUUAUUGCCACUGCCAAUAUCGUUGUUAUAGAAUUGGCGUUGCGGACGAACAGCUGAAGAAGACCCUCCCUGUGGUGUUGUCUAAGGCCCCAUGGCAAUGCGCGGCCUCUGGUUGUUCCCUUGCUGAGCCUUGACGUGAGCAAUCUUGUGUUUCUUCUCUUCCAUUCGGUUGUACUUGUCUUCCUGGCGAAUAGCCUUGUCCACCAACUUCUGGAAAUCAGAAAAAUCACUAGACAUCAGUGGGAAAGAUAACUCAUCAUUCAGUCCUUCCAAGAACUUCUCUUGACGCACCUCGUCCAUGCAAACAUCCUCAGGAGCAUAACGGGCCAGACAAUUGAACUCAUGCAGAAACUCGGUGAUAGAACAAGAUCUCAGAGUGAGUGCCCUGAACUCCCUCUUCUUGAGAGCCACCACUCCCGAUGGUACAUGAAUCUUCUUGAAAGCAACAGUAAACUCGAGCCAAGUGAUUGGCUCAACAACAACCCUAUUGAGACGGAAAUGGUCCCACCAAUCAGAGGAAGGGCCAUGAAGCUGGUGUGAAGCAAAGGAGACCUUCUCCUGGUCAACGCAUUGAAGCAAGUCCAGCUUCUUUUCUAUGGCAUGCAACCAAUCACCAACCUCAACUGGAUUGGUAGUGCUGGAAAAAGUGGGUGGCCUCACACACAAAAAUUCUGCUAACUAGUUCUAAGGAGGAGCAUGAUUGUUCCCUUGGUUUUGUUGGUUCUGUAUCUAUUGCAUCAUCAAGUUCAUGAGUUGAGUCUGCUGAGCUAGGACUUGAGAAAGCAUUGGGUUUUCUCCAUUGUUGUUGGACCCACUUCGAGUGUUGUGAUUGCUCACCAUUUGACAUAAGCAAGAGCACAAGGAGAGAAACAAAGGGGAGAACAACUUAGAACAAAGAAUUAUUUUUUACUAACUUGACUUUUAUUGAUCUGAACUGAGUACUAUUAUCAUAUAUAACUGAAAGACUCUCACCACUUAAUUCUCAAAAGCAAACAAACCAUGCAGCUACAUCCCACCAACGAUGUAGACCACACGCAAGACCCACACUCAUAAGCAAACUUAAACAAGUAGACUAACACAACGAACUAAGGCAACAAUCUAACAAGACGUCUAGGUCUGCCUGGCAUCGGAGUUGACUGAAGGAUCUCCUUCAUCAUCUUGAGAAGCACCCCACUCAACCUCUGAAUGAGUGCGGUUCUCCUUUGAGUCUUCUUCCUCAAUCAUCGCUCAGAAUAAUGAUAGGA